rnacentral:rRNA from 1 species
UACGAAGGGGGCUAGCGUUGCUCGGAAUCACUGGGCGUAAAGCGCACGUAGGCGGAUUGCUAAGUCAGGGGUGAAAUCCUGGAGCUCAACUCCAGAACUGCCUUUGAUACUGGCGAUCUCGAGUUCGGGAGAGGUGAGUGGAACUGCGAGUGUAGAGGUGAAAUUCGUAGAUAUUCGCAAGAACACCAGUGGCGAAGGCGGCUCACUGGCCCGAUACUGACGCUGAGGCACGGAAAGCGUGGGGAGCAACAGG